rnacentral:rRNA from 1 species
CCCUUGUGCCAGCAGCCGCGGUAAUUCCAGCUCCAAUAGCGUAUAUUAAAGUUGUUGUGGUUAAAAAGCUCGUAGUUGGAUCUCAACAGCCUUGAAGCGGUUAACUUUGUAGUUUUACUGCUUUAUAGGCUGUGCUUUUGCUGGAGGUUUAGGGGUGCUCUUGAUCGAGUGUCUCUGGAUGCCAGCAGGUUUACUUUGAAAAAAUUAGAGUGCUCAAAGCAGGCUAAAAUGCCUGAAUAUUCGUGCAUGGAAUAAUAGAAUAGGAUGUCGAUCCUAUUUUGUUGGUUUUCGGGACUCGACAUAAUGAUAAAUAGGGACAGUCGGGGGCAUUUGUAUUCAAACGACAGAGGUGAAAUUCUUGGACCGUUUGAAGACAAACUACUGCGAAAGCAUUUGCCAAGAAUGUUUUCAUUAAUCAAGAACGAAAGUUAGAGGUUCGAAGGCGAUUAGAUACCGCCCUAGUUCUAACCAUAAACGAUGCCAGCUAGCGAUCUGCCUGCGUUUUUACUGUAGACUGGGCAGGAAGCUUCCGGGAAACCAAAGCAUUUGGGUUCCAGGGGAAGUAUGGUUGCAAAGCUGAAACUUAAAGGAAUUGACGGAAGGGCACCACCAGGAGUGGAGCCUGUGGCUUAAUUUGACUCAACACGGGAAAUCUCACCAGGCCCGGACACUGGAAGGAUUGACAGAUUGAUAGCUCUUUCUUGAUUCGGUGGGUGGUGGUGCAUGGCCGUUCUUAGUUGGUGGAGUGAUUUGUCUGGUUAAUUCCGAUAACGAACGAGACUCUGUCCUGCUAAAUAGUUUCUACUUCUCUUUUGAGUAGAAAUUUCUUCUUAGAGGGACUGGUGACUCUUAGUCACACGAGAUUGAGCAAUAACAGGUCUGUGA